CACCAAAAAAUAAGUAUAUAGUUAUCCUUGAGCGAUCUUGAAUCUUAAUUAGUACACUCACGUUCCCUGUGGAAAAUCGAUACUCUGGAAUACUCCCGGGUGAAAGCUACAUUGGUAUCCGUGCGCUUGCGGAUUUUUCUGUUUGUGUUUAAAAUACCCGACAAGCUUUCUGGCGCCGUUGCCGGGGAACGGUAGCUGUGCAAGUUUCGAACCAAGUCGUCCGUGUAUCCUUUUUCUUUUCCUUUUUUUACCACACUCACCUUACCAUUUUCACCACACCACAUGGAUUUCACUCUAAGAAUUAAUGAGCAUGG
rnacentral:lncRNA from 1 species